UACGUAGGGGGCAAGCGUUGUCCGGAAUUAUUGGGCGUAAAGCGCGCGUAGGCGGUUCUUUAAGUCUUGUGUUUAAGCCCGGGGCUCAACCCCGGCUCGCAGGGGAAACUGGAGGACUGGAGUGCAGGAGAGGAAAGUGGAAUUCCACGUGUAGCGGUGAAAUGCGUAGAGAUGUGGAGGAACACCAGUGGCGAAGGCGACUCUUUGGCCUAUGACUGACGCUGAGGCGCGAAAGCGUGGGGAGCAAACAGG
rnacentral:misc_RNA from 1 species